rnacentral:rRNA from 1 species
CUGAUGCGCCAUGCCGCGUGUAUGAAGAAGGCCUUCGGGUUGUAAAGUACUUUCAGUUGUGAGGAAGGGGGUGUCGUUAAUAGCGGCAUCUCUUGACGUUAGCAACAGAAGAAGCACCGGCUAACUCCGUGCCAGCAGCCGCGGUAAUACGGAGGGUGCGAGCGUUAAUCGGAAUUACUGGGCGUAAAGCGCAUGCAGGUGGUUCAUUAAGUCAGAUGUGAAAGCCCGGGGCUCAACCUCGGAACUGCAUUUGAAACUGGUGAACUAGAGUACUGUAGAGGGGGGUAGAAUUUCAGGUGUAGCGGUGAAAUGCGUAGAGAUCUGAAGGAAUACCAGUGGCGAAGGCGGCCCCCUGGACAGAUACUGACACUCAGAUGCGAAAGCGUGGGGAGCAAACAGGAUUAGAUACCCUGGUAGUCCACGCCGUAAACGAUGUCUACUUGGAGGUUGUGGCCUUGAGCCGUGGCUUUCGGAGCUAACGCGUUAAGUAGACCGCCUGGGGAGUACGGUCGCAAGAUUAAAACUCAAAUGAAUUGACGGGGGCCCGCACAAGCGGUGGAGCAUGUGGUUUAAUUCGAUGCAACGCGAAGAACCUUACCUACUCUUGACAUCCAGAGAAGCCAGCGGAGACGCAUGUGUGCCUUCGGGAGCUCUGAGACAGGUGCUGCAUGGCUGUCGUCAGCUCGUGUUGUGAAAUGUUGGGUUAAGUCCCGCAACGAGCGCAACCCUUAUCCUUGUUUGCCAGCGAGUAAUGUCGGGAACUCCAGGGAGACUGCCGGUGAUAAACCGGAGGAAGGUGGGGACGACGUCAAGUCAUCAUGGCCCUUACGAGUAGGGCUACACACGUGCUACAAUGGCGCAUACAGAGGGCAGCGAACUUGCGAGAGUGAGCGAAUCCCAAAAAGUGCGUCGUAGUCCGGAUUGGAGUCUGCAACUCGACUCCAUGAAGUCGGAAUCGCUAGUAAUCGUAGAUCAGAAUGCUACGGUGAAUACGUUCCCGGGCCUUGUACACACCGCCCGUCACACCAUGGGAGUGGGCUGCAAAAGAAGUGGGUAGUUUAACCUUCCGGGAGGACGCUCACCACUUUUUGGGUCAUGACUGGGUGACGUCCCC